AUGCCUCGUCAUCUAAUUAGUGACGCGCAUGAAUGGAUUAACGAGAUUCCUUCUGUCCCUAUCUACUUUCUAGCGAAACCACAGCCAAGGGAACGGGCUUGGAAUAAUUAGCGGGGAAAGAAGACCCUGUUGAGCUUGACUCUAGUCUGGCAGUGUAAGGAGACAUAAGAGGUGUAGCAUAAGUGGGAGAUAUAUUAGUUUAUACUAUAUAUAUCAACAAUGAAAUACCACUACUCUUAUUGUUUCCUUACUUACUUGAUAAAAUGGAACGUGUAUCAUUCACUUAGCCAUUACACGGAUAUAUUUAUAUGUAUAUUUUAUGGUAUUUUGUUUUGAUGCGAGCUUCUUGUUUAAAGUACCAAGAGUUUGUUAUAUACACCAAACAAAUAUCAUUUAAAUUUGCUUAUCAUUAAUAAUGGUUUGUUAAAUAUUAAUUGAAUUUGGUAUAACUCUUAUACUCAGGUAUGAUCCAAUUCAAGGACAUUGCCAGGUGGGGAGUUUGACUGGGGCGGUACAUCUCUCAAAUAAUAACGGAGGUGUCCCAAGGCCAGCUCAGUGCGGACAGAAACCACACAUAGAGCAAAAGGGCAAAUGCUGACUUGAUCUCGGUGUUCAGUACAUACAGAGACAGCAAAAGCUCGGCCUAUCGAUCCUUUUGGUUUAAAGAGUUUUUAACAAGAGGUGUCAGAAAAGUUACCACAGGGAUAACUGGCU
rnacentral:rRNA from 1 species